AUAUACACAAUUUUGAUAAUAUAAAUGUAAAAAAAGUAAUAUCCACAAAACAUUUCUUUAAAAAGGUUGCAAAAUUAUGGAAGACUGGACUGGAAAGAAGAGAUAGAAGAAACCUUUGCUUACUUCUCCCAUUAUCUUUUAAGAUAUGAGAUGUUGACAGACAUGAAAUAUGGGAACAGACAAGAAGUCCUGGCAAGAAGUCAUCUAUAUACCUUGCCUAGAGGUUUGACUCUGAAUCAAGAAGAAAAUGAAUUGCAGGUGUUUCACCUGACAGAGCAAGAACAAACACAUUCAUGGGACAUUCUUCAGUGUUGGCAAGAAAAUGAAUUGCCAUUCAUUGCUUUGAUGUGAUUAGGAGCACCUGGCUGCCAAAUUGCUAUUUGAAAAAUAAUUACCCUCCAUUAGUGGUUGAUUUUUCACCUGCUCCACUUCAUAAACUUUGAAAAGGAUCUUUCAGUAAUGAUUCAAUUUUACAGGUAAAUUUCUACCUUAAGAAAACAUGAUGAAUUGUCAAACAAAUUAUGUUUAAAUGGAAACCGAUUGUUGCUCUCCACAAGGAAUAUAUAGACUUGUUUGUUUAAAUAAAGUGCUUCAAUGUAUUAGGUACGUGUGUGUGUGUGUGUGUGUGAAUUAAGUAACAUAUGGAACAAGAGACUCUAGAAUGCAAAACCCUAAGACUCUGGACCCUGGGAUCUAAGAACAGCUAAAGGUAGAGGCACCAGGAAAGUUAAGUGCUGCUCUACUGAGACUUAUGCUACCUUACUCUCCUGACCAUCUCUUUUUUUUCAUCUCACUUUUCCCCACUGAGAUGCUUGCUAGGCAAACAUAAAAA